UGGGGGAUAUUGCACAAUGGGGGGAACCCUGAUGCAGCGACGCCGCGUGGGUGAAGAAGCGCCUCGGCGCGUAAAGCCCUGUCAGCAGGGAAGAAAAUGACGGUACCUGAAGAAGAACGCCCCGGCUAACUACGUGCC
rnacentral:rRNA from 1 species